rnacentral:rRNA from 1 species
GUGCCAGCAGCCGCGGUAAAACGUAGGAGGCGAGCGUUAUCCGGAUUUACUGGGCGUAAAGCGCACGCAGGUGGCUUAGCAAGUCGGACAUGAAAGCUCCUGGCUUAACUGGGAGAGGUGGUUCGAAACUGCUGAGCUUGAGGUUGGGAGAGGGACGUGGAAUUCCCGGUGUAGUGGUGGAAUGCGUAGAUAUCGGGAGGAACACCAGUGGCGCAAGCGGCGUCCUGGCCCACACCUGACGCUGAGGUGCGAAAGCGUGGGGAGCAAACAGGAUUAGAUACCCGCGUAGUCC